CCCUUAGAUGUUCGGGGCUGCACGCGCGCUACACUGAUGCAUUCAACGAGUUUCUUCCUGGUCCGAGAGGAAUGGGUAACCUUUUGAAAGUGCAUCGUGAUAGGGAUAGACUAUUGCAAUUAUUGGUCUUCAACGAGGAAUUCCUAGUAGACGUAGUUCAUCAGACUGCAUCGAUUACGUCCCUGCCCUUUGUACACACCGCCCGUCGCUCCUACCGAUUGAAUGCUCAGGUGAGCCAUUCGGACUUUCAUCAUGCUGGUUUCCAGUUUUGAUGAAGGAAAGUCUUGCGAACCUUAUCAUUUAGAGGAAGGAGAAGUCGUAACA
rnacentral:rRNA from 1 species